UACAGAGGGGGCAAGCGUUGUUCGGAAUUACUGGGCGUAAAAGGCGCGUAGGCGGCCUUCUAAGUCGAACGUGAAAUCCCUGGGCUCAACCCAGGAACUGCGUCCGAUACUGGAAGGCUUGAAUCCGGGAGAGGGAUGCGGAAUUCCAGGUGUAGCGGUGAAAUGCGUAGAUAUCUGGAGGAACACCGGUGGCGAAGGCGGCUUUCUGGACAGACACCGACGCUGAGGCACGAAAGCUAGGGGAGCAAACAGG
rnacentral:rRNA from 1 species